UCAGUUGUGUUAUUUCUGUGUCAAAGGAAGGAAGCAGAGAGCAGUUAAAAAAGUCUUUGUGUUGUCACAGUUGUUGGUGUGUCAUAGCUGCUGCUUCACUCUUUCUCUUUACAGGAAGUUGUAGAAGUUUUCAGACGUGUCGCUGCUGGAUGUGAGGAUGGGACCCACUUUGCUCUGUGAGCUGGGCCUAUUCUUGCUCUGUACGCUCCUCUGCACUGGACACGCUCAAGAUGCUGUGUUAACUAUUGAACCCAACUGCUGCAGUUUUUUCAUUGGA